UUCUAACCCACUAAAUAUUGCGCACUACCUAAUGGAUUAAAAUAAUUAAUGACAGUAAACACAGAGAAUCACAGAUACAAGCAUAAAAUAAAGUAUAAGAACAAAUUAGAUCUCACAGAAUAAUCUUGCUAGUGCUUCCCUAAUCGUUGCUGGAAUAAAAGAAAUUAGCUAAAACUCAUAAGAAAAUAAAACAAGAAAAAUAAAAAUAAUAAAUUGCGAAGAAUAAAAGAAAAGGAAAAACUUGAAUUAAUUUGCUGAAAAAUCAUGUCCCAGCUGCUCUAGAAAUUGGC
rnacentral:lncRNA from 1 species